GACCCCUUAGCUCAGUGGUAGAGCGUGUGAUUCCAGUUUUUCGGGCAUCCACAAGGUCGAGCGUUCAACUCGCUCAGGGGUCA